GCCUCUCGUCCGCCCCGGGAGUAGCGAGGCGUGGCGACGCGGGCUCCCGACGCCCGGCUGCACCCGUGCCCACUGUCUUGGAGCGCGCGCUUCCCGCUGCCCCGCGGGCAGUUCCGGGCUGGGGACGCCGCGCAGCCAACGGUCGCCGCCCCGCGGGCGCAGGCCCCAUUCAGGCCAGUGGGCGCUGCGGGCACAGGCUCCGGCUGCCCAUUUCCUGACGCGACCCUGGAAAGCCAGCCCCUCAGCGAGCCCGCAGGAGGAGCUAGGGCGCCGCUCCGCUCGGGCGCCACGGAGAGGGGAGAUGUCGCCACACGAGGGCGCCGCGGUCAGAGUUAGGGCGCUGUGAGGCGCGAGGGUGGAGGGCGCCUCGGUCAGAGUUAGGGCGCUGUGAGGCGCAAGGGCCGAGGGCGCCUAGGUCAGAGUUAGGGGGUGCUGAGGCCCGAGGGCGCAGCGGUCGGAGUUAGGGCGCUGUGAGGCGCGAGGGCGCCUAGGUCAGAGGUCAGAGUUAGGGCGCUGAGGCCCGAGGGCGCAGCGGUCGGAGUUAGGGCGCUGUGAGGCGCGAGGGUCGAGGGCGCGGCGCCCGCGCACCCCCUCCCCCAGUGCCCGGCAGGCCGCCUGGCCCGCGCUGGAUGGACAUCGCCGGGCAGCGCCGCCCAGCAGAACCUACAGGAACACUCGGUUUGGUACAAGCGCUACUGGGGCUCUACAUGAAAAUGGAAAACAAGAAUACGUUUUUAGAGAGAAAGCAAAAUGUUGGUGCUCUAAAAAUCUGGCUAGACGCGGCACACGAGGGGGCGGCUGCGGGCAGAAGGCAGAAGCGCUCCCGGCCUGUCGGGCGCAGGUUUACGGCUCGUGCCCCUCCCCGCCCCCGUUUGAGACAAAAGUUUUAAUUCCCAUGAAUCAACUCAUUUACUUUGAAUCAUAGGAUUUAUGCUGUGUUCAACCUAUAACUUCCUAGAAAGCAAUGAAAUCUUUGCUGAUUUUCUAUCCAUAAUAGAAAAGGAUUGGUCAUCGAGGACGGGAUUUGCUUAGAGUUCCUCGAUUUGGGGAUUCUGAGAGGUGACCGAGUCUUCCUCAUUACCCAGACAGCACUGAACUGAAGCCAUCGUGGGCAGUUGGAUGUUUAUCCUAUUCUUAAAAUCUCCAGGGAAGUGAAUUCUCUACAACGUCCCUUGGUAACCUUCUCCAGGGCUUUAUCAGAUGUACGGUGAGGAAGUUCUGAUGUAGAAACCAAUAAAAAUAUUAACUCCAUGAGCUGAGCCGCAAGCACUGGGAAGGCCUGUGUGCCCGCUCUGCCUUAAUGCGAGAGAGAUGUAUUUACAAAGCAGGCCACACAGACAGACCAUUUGCCGGGAGCAGAUGUGGGAGGUAGAUUCAAGAGAAAUUGCCAUAAUAAAUUCUGUUCCAACCCACGAA